AGAUGAAGAGAUGAGGAGAUUUGCAAACUUUUUUAGUUUCGAAAGAAAAAGAAAAGCAGUAUUGGUCGGGUUCUAGGGUUAAGAGAGCUUUCUUCAGUCCACUCAUGGGUGGCGGUAGGGUUUAAUUAGCUGCCGACUCAUUCAUUCAAAUAUUGAGUCCAAAAAUUUCAAAUCUCAAAUGGAUUCACUAAACGAUUGAAUGAUGCGGGAGACAAAUUGAACCUUAAGCUUCCUGUACUUGGACUGAAGGGAGCUCCCUUUUCUUUCUAUCUUUUCCUUUUCUUCAUCCUCGAGAUCGAGAUCUCUAUCGUAUAGCUUAAUUGAUUAAACAUAUGUAUUUGUUAAAAGCUUACAAUACCCACUUUCUCGAUUCUUCUUCUUAAUCAGACGUUCAAAGACUUGCCGUCGACAUAGCUCAGGUCAGAAGGUCAGGGUUCAAAAUAUAUAUUCAUCGUUAUUGAACUCAAUAUAUUGUAAUUUUCUUUUAAUAAUUUUGUUUUGUUCUCAUUAGGAUAAAAGGGAGAAGAUUAAGAUCUCUACAUGAUCCUAAGCUCAAAUACUGCUUUCUCGAUUGCAUUGAGUAUGUUAAAAUAGAAUAAUAUUACUAUUUUCUCCUGUUAUAGAAGAAGAUCAAGAUCUCUUCCACUGCCAUCAUAGUUUAAUGGUUAAGCCAUUAUAAACUCAGUUAUUGGAGGAAAAUUUGAAGACCCAUUUGAAUGAUUACAUAAUUAUGUCAGAAAAAAUUAUUAAAAUCCUUUUUUUCUUCUUUCAAUUAGUAGUGAUGGAGAGCCUGGACUCAGAUUUGUGCAGAGAUGACCCAUUUGAAGUAAAUUUCAGAAUGAAAUGGGGAACAAAGGAUGGAGAUGAAGUAUAACAUCUUUGAUCUCUUGCUCGUAGAAAAUCUCUACUUGUACUUGAUGACAUAACUUAACACAAAAAUGGCAAUUAAAUCCUCAUUUAAUUCGAUUA